GCGGCGGACGGGUGAGUAACACGUGGGCAACCUGCCUGUAAGACUGGGAUAACUUCGGGAAACCGGAGCUAAUACCGGAUAAUCCUUUCCCUCACAUGAGGGAAAGCUGAAAGACGGUUUCGGCUGUCACUUACAGAUGGGCCCGCGGCGCAUUAGCUAGUUGGUGAGGUAACGGCUCACCAAGGCAACGAUGCGUAGCCGACCUGAGAGGGUGAUCGGCCACACUGGGACUGAGACACGGCCCAGACUCCUACGGGAGGCAGCAGUAGGGAAUCUUCCGCAAUGGACGAAAGUCUGACGGAGCAACGCCGCGUGAGCGAUGAAGGCCUUCGGGUCGUAAAGCUCUGUUGUCAGGGAAGAACAAGUAUCGGAGUAACUGCCGGUACCUUGACGGUACCUGACCAGAAAGCCACGGCUAACUACGUGCCAGCAGCCGCGGUAAUACGUAGGUGGCAAGCGUUGUCCGGAAUUAUUGGGCGUAAAGCGCGCGCAGGCGGUUCCUUAAGUCUGAUGUGAAAGCCCCCGGCUCAACCGGGGAGGGUCAUUGGAAACUGGGGAACUUGAGUGCAGAAGAGGAGAGCGGAAUUCCACGUGUAGCGGUGAAAUGCGUAGAGAUGUGGAGGAACACCAGUGGCGAAGGCGGCUCUCUGGUCUGUAACUGACGCUGAGGCGCGAAAGCGUGGGGAGCGAACAGGAUUAGAUACCCUGGUAGUCCACGCCGUAAACGAUGAGUGCUAAGUGUUAGAGGGUUUCCGCCCUUUAGUGCUGCAG
rnacentral:rRNA from 1 species